AACGUAGGUGGCGAGCGUUAUCCGGAUUCAUUGGGCGUAAAGAGCUUGUAGGUGGCCUGAUAAGUUGGACGUGAAAACUCCGGGCUUAACUUGGAGAGGCCGUUCAAUACUGUGAGGCUGGAGGAUGUCAGAGGGAAGUAGAAUUCCUGGUGUAGCAGUGAAAUGCGUAGAUCUCAGGAGGAAUACCCGUGGCGAAGGCUGCUUCCUGGGACAUAACUGACACUGAGAACCGAAAGCUCGGGGAGCAAACGGG
rnacentral:rRNA from 1 species